ensembl:piRNA 21ur-3705 ncRNA
UGUCGCUGUCAUGAAGCAAAA